rnacentral:lncRNA from 1 species
GGAGUUUGAGACCAGUCUCUGAAGCAGUAAAGACUAUGGGAGAGUUUACUAUGAUUUUGGCAGACAGCAAUUUCUUAGUACACAAAAACACAGCUACAUUCUUCUAUUUUUGGGAAAGGAGACAUACAACUUUCAAGUUUAGAGGACAUUCGUUUUAUCAGCUCAUGAAGUUAAAAAUUCACAGUGCUAUCUAUGUACACAGCAGACACUCAGAGCAGGAUAGUUGGAUCAAUAAGUAAGUACACAUAUACUCCUUUUUUUCCUGAAAAGUUGUAAAAAAUUUGCUUUGAAAUAAAUAUCUAUUAUUUAUUUCUUGUUAUGAACAAGGCAGAAUUCCCAGUCUUCAAAUCACAGGAGUUUUAUUUGAGCAAACUUCAAGCAAGAAUUGGAUAUCUUCCAUUUUGCUUCUUUUUCUACAGAAGAGAAGCAAGAAACCAAAUACUGGGGGAUAUAUUGCACAAGUAUAACUUCAAGAAACCCAAGCCAGUGCAAACAAUUCAAAAAAUAAUGGAACCCGAAGACAGCGAACCUUCCAGGGAUGCUAUGGACAUUUAUCCCCUCUGCUAACAUUUAUGUUUCUGUAGUUGAGGUUCAGUUAUAUCACAGUUUAGACAACUCCCUAGAAACAAUGAUCCCUGUUAAAGCUGCUCCAGGAGCACAGGAAUUCCUUUGAUGAGCUCUAAGAGAUUGGUAACAAUACCUCCUGAAGGGCCGUGUUGCUAGGUAACAGCUUGUUUCCUUGGUCACAGUGAAUCCGUGGAAGACCCCCAAAAGAGGCUGCAGAUUCUUAGUGGACAGCUCUCAUAUCCCCUCCAGGGAAAAUGAUGAAAAAUGUCUUCAGAAAAAUAGCUUUAUGAAGGCAAGAGGACUUUUUGCACCUGCAAGACAUGUCUGAAAGCUCCUCAGGUCAAAACACAAGUAGUCAAGAGAUUUGUCCAUCUAAUUCAUCAUACUACUCUGAUCCAAGUGAGACCCACACUGGGUCAGCUCCAUCAAGGAGAAGAACAUUCCACCCACGUUUGGAUUCUGGAAUAUCAUCCUUGCUUCCAUCAGAUUCUUGUAAGUACCUCACUUGGCACAAGGUAGACAUGACGUUCAAGGAAGUCAACUGCGUUGCCCAAGAGUAAGAGAAGGAAUCUCUGAAGAAGAGCAACUUUUCAGACAGGUAGAGUGUGCCUUGCUCCCAAGGAAAAGAGUUCUUGAAAAAAACAAAUGGGAAACAUGGCUACAAGAAAACUGGGAAGACUGCAAGGCAAAAACAUGCUAACUGACAAGAAAAUCAUGGGUUUUAUACAAGGAUAACAAGUGCUGGGUUGCUUAGCUAUGAGGAAGGCUAGGCUCACUGCAUACCAGAAGAUGUACAGCGUUGGAGAAUUCAGGGAUUUUUAUCAACAAUCAAACUAUAUUUGUGGAAAUUUUGUGCAUAAGUGCCAAAGAUGGCUGACAUCGGACCACAUUCUAUUUAACUCAACUGAAUGACACCAAGCUCUCAUCCUAAAACUUAUAGUUACAUCCACCCUUCUGAAAUAUUUAAUUAUUCUCCAAUACACUGGAGGUAAUAGGUAUAAAAAGAAUGAGCAUGUGCAACUUAGUAUCUCAUAUCUAAUUUUGUGUCCCAAGUUCAUUCUUCCCCUGAAUGUCCCAUGUCUACCAGGUGCAGGAUUAUCUGGAUGGGUCAGUUCAAAACAAUUUCAGGGAAUAAAUUGUGUAGGGGACUCAAUUUUCUGAGACAGAAACAUAAUGUGAAUAACUCCUUUGUUAGAAAAUAAUUUCAGUGACAGAAAGCCUUUCAGUUCAUAAAGAAAACUUACAUAUCAACAAGCCUAGCUCCUCACUAGUCCCAGUGAAUGCUUACAUCAAUCAGCUCUACAAUAUCCAGUAAAGGACUUUCCAAUUCGCCUUUGAAUAAACUGAGGUAUUGGAAACAUCUAAGAAAAUGGUUUUUAAUUCUUCCUAAUCUUCAGGGAGUUCUUCCUUAUAUUGAGCUGAUAUCUGCCCUCUGUAACUUUCAACUAAUUAUUCAAAUCUCUCAAGUGAUUAUAAUUAAUUCCAUCUUAUAAGGAAUUUUUCUCAGCUUCCAGCCUCUUGAAAAUACUCUGAUAUUUUCUCUAAUAUUCAAGUGGAAAUGUAAAUGGGUAACGUAAGAGUCUGUGGGGUUAGGAGGGUGGAGGAAAGGUAAGGGAAAGCUAAUGAGAAAUAACCAAAGCAAGAAAAAGAAUUUUAUUUUCUUCAAGUUCUUUGUACAUCCAAAGUGGAAGAUUCCUAAAAUAAAUUCCCCAUACCACAUUUUAAAAAUUAGGUUAGCAAGCUUACUUUUUAAUUUAUUUAGAAGCCAACUACUUCCAUUUAUUAUUUCUUUCCAGAAUAGAACAAUUAUCACUAAUUGUUUGUCAUUAUAAUGCCAAACUAUGUUAAUAGAUGCCUAUUUUUUUAAAGGCUAAUUGCAAUCAUGAAACCAAAUAUCUAAUUAGUUUUAGAGCUUUGGACCACAUGCAUCAAUAUUUGAAUCAUUCAGGUGUAUAUUUGCUUUCUGCUUUUUUGUCUCUUCAAAAGAAGUAUUAUAUGCAUUCUGUUUAUAAUUUCUAAAUGGUCAUUUCAAAACUGAUUAUACGAGUUUAUACAAAUCAUACUGAAAUUUGUUGCUUAAAAAAUCUUCAUUUUUCUCUAAGCUCUCAGUGUCCUUGAGCUAUAUAUAUUUUAUGGCAAUUUUUACUUAAUAGUUUGUAUGCUAGUUAUUUUUGACAAUGACUACUAAAAUGCAAGUUUCUUCAAGGGCAGAUUCACCUUAGUUCUUCUUUAUACCCCUCAAAAACCUCAGGGUUAUUCUCAAUAAGUAUUGAGUAGGUGAGUGAACUUUGGAUGUAUACUCCUUGAAAUUAUAUUUCUGGAGCUGGAAAACUUUAAAAAAAUGUAUGUCAUGAGUCUAAAGAAAUAAACAUUAUAUGGCUGAAAAAAUACUUUGUGAAAACCAAAAAUCUCAUGGAAUCAUGAACUUAUCUAUGGGACAGAUGUUAGCCCUGAGGUUGUUCUGGGCUUCUUUUCUACCCACUUCCCAUGACCAAAUCAGUUCACUAGUCAGCAGUUCUAUCCUUCCUCUCCUUCUCCUUCCAUCUAAGGAGCUAGAGCUGAACUGCUUGGCCACUGAUUGCUGACAUGCUGAGUUUUCUACAGCUGGAGUUUUCAAGAGGGCUUUGAUUUUGCUUUCCCCAGUUUUCCUUCUUCCACACUUGAAAAGUGGUAAGGGUACCAGCUUUCUGUCUAUCUCUGACUCUCUCUCUCUCUUUCACACACACACACACACACACACACACACACACACACACUUUUUUUUUUCUUCCACCCUCCUGCACAGCAGGAGACCUUGCCUUGAUCUUUGAAGGUCUACAGCAAGUGGUCUAGGCUAACUCAGUGCUGGGCAAAUGGAGCAAAAACUCUUUUCUGCUUCCUUGCCUCCAUGUCUUUCAGAGCUAGCAGAUACAGCUUUUGUUCUAUAGGAGUGAUUCUUUCUAAAUGUCAGCUCAACAGGAUGAUGGUCACUCUUGUAUAUCACUUAGGCAUGAGUUCUGUUGAAUCCCA